UUAAGUCCAUGUCUUGGAUUGCUNAUAGUUCUGUGAAAUGUUUUCAAAACCCAUUAAUCACGUUUUUUACAAGUGACAAAAAAUAUUUUCUCCAUUUGUUGGCCACAUGACAACUUUCUAUUGACAACUUACUUUUCACAAGGAUGUGUUUGUUUGAAAAAAUCAUGGACCAUUGAUCAAAAUGGAGGGUUGAGAUUAGCUUAAGCUUGUCUAUCAUUUAUUGAUAUGGACGGCAGGAGAGAGAAGCACAUGACUUUUACUUUCUCUUGAUUUUUCUUCCAAAAAAUGGCAGACUUCUUUCUCCUCUCUCUUUGGCAGAAAUGUCGAUACUCGAUGAACCCUUCAAUAAAUGUACAAAUCCGUGUGUCAAUCAAAUAAAUGAAAAAUUGAAAAGAGUACUAUUGGAAUAAUUUAAAUAUAACUUCGAUAAAAUCGUACUUAAAAUGAUUCUCAUCUCUAUUAAAGAUUUAACUAGAAUUACCUACAUGCAAUCUAACAAAGUCAUCUUUGCUUCCAUGAAACCUUAUUAACAUCUUUGAUAUUAAGGAAUAGAAAAUAAAUUAAAAUUUUAUAUUUUACACUUUCAAAUCUUAUCUAAGUAAUAAUGCAAUACUAGAUUAUCCUUAAACUCUAAUCGUGUUCUUAAAAAAAAUAAAUAAAUAAAAUUCCCAAGUGGUGGUGCUGCUUGUCUACUAGUGGCCGCUGGAUCGAAAUUUGGAUAUUAAUCUCACUAUCGAAUUAUUCAGUAUAAGAAUUGAGGAAAAAAAAAUUAAUAUUUAAGUGCAAUUGAUUGGCUAAACUCUUUCAAGAUAAGGCAGCCAGCACUGCCAUGAAGAAAACUGAUAAGAAUGAAUGGCGUGUACGAGAUGAUUUAUGCUCUAUGUACAGAGGAGAGGUUGACAGAACUCCUUUAGAUUAGACACAUGGGGUCCACCCACUGUUUCUGAUCCGAGGAUCUCAUCUUGUACGUGUAGUCUCUUUCGUACGAGACAUGUUUGAAAGAUUAAUGAAUAACGACACAAGUUAUUGUCGAUUUUUUGACAAGUUAAAAAUUGCUUCUAGAAUUAGAAUUUUUUUUUUUAAUUUUUAUGACGGGGAAAUUCGCAAUCGCUACCCUUCGAGUGCGCACUGGAUAAAUCAUUUGACUGACGCAAUAGCUUGCAAACCACGCCAGUCAGAUAAAUCGCACUAGACAAACCCUAUGCAACAGACUUGACUGAGAAAGUGUUGGUAGAGGGAAUUAAACUCGUGAUCAUAAGUCUUUGUGCUCACCCACUCCACCAACUCAACCACCCCAUGAGGGGCUAGAAAAUAUAUUUUGAACCUUUGUUUGGAUGAAAUAGUUUGUAAAGAAAGUUUUAAGUAGUUUCUUCAUAAAAGUCUUCUGCAACACGCAAAAUGAAAGUAGAAGCUUUAACAAAUAGGUCCUUAAUAUCAGUUUACGAAAUAGUGAAGUAUCUAAUUAAACAACAUGUAUUUUAAAUUCAUUAAAUAAUUAAAAAUCCUGCAAAUUUUUUGGUUACAAAUCGUUGAUAUCUCUUAUAAACUUAGAAAUAAAAAUAAAUGGAAAUAUUUAUCAGGGAAAAAUUCGUAACUUGAUAAAUUACUACAUUCUCAAUCGCUAAUAAAAGUUUGCAGCCGAAUACCAAUGAAUUGUCAUCCAUAAAAAAUAAAUGC
rnacentral:lncRNA from 1 species